GUGCUCACUUCGGCAGCACAUAUACUAAAAUUAGAAUGAUACAGAGAUGAUUAGCAUGGCCCCUGUGCAAGUAAUGACACGCAAAAUUUAAAAAAAAACAACAACGAC